AUGCUUUCAGAAUGGACAGUUUCAGGAAACUGUCAAACAAAAAUAUUCAGAAUGGGCAGUUCCACCACAACACCAUGCAGCAACGGUUUUUCAUACAGCAGGUACACCAAGAAAUCUCACAUGCCUUCCCUUGGCUUGGCUCUCGUGCUGCUGGUCUCUUUGGUCUCUCCGACCAGCUCCUGCACCGAGCAGGAGAAGAGCUCCCUUCUCCAGCUCCUCGCCGGGCUAUCGCAGGACGGCGACCUCACGACGACGUGGCGGCACGGCACCGACUGCUGCACAUGGGAAGGGAUCACCUGCAACCAAGAUAGGAAGGUCACUGAUGUUUCGUUGGCUUCUCGAGGCCUCGAGGGGCCCAUCUCGCCGUUCCUUGGCAACCUCACCGGACUUUUGCGCCUCAACCUUUCCCGGAACUUGCUGUCUGGUGGCUUGCCACUGGAAUUAGUGUCAUCCAGCAGCAUCCUUGUUCUUGACAUCAGCUUCAACCGCCUCACAGGAGGCCUGAGCGAGCUGCCAUCUUCAACCCCUGCGCGGCCUCUGCAGGUACUCAACAUCUCAAGCAACUUGCUUACAGGCAUAUUACCAUCCACAACAUGGGAGGUGAUGAAGAGCCUGGUCGUUUUUAAUGCCAGUUCCAACAGAUUUACUGGUCAGAUACCAACUACACCAUGUGUUAGCGCGCCAUCUUUUGCUGUGCUUGAGCUCAGUUUCAACCAACUCAGUGGGAACAUCCCUUCAGGACUCGGUAAUUGCUCAGUACUGAAAUUGCUAGGUGCUGGCUACAACAAACUCAGUGGUACACUUCCAGAUGAACUCUUCAAGGUCACCUCGUUAGAGCACCUCUCGUUACCUAACAAUUGGUUAGAAGGAGCUCUCGAUGACAUCAGCAAGCUCAUAAAUCUGGUCACCCUUGAUCUUGGCGGGAAUGAGCUCAGCGGUAAUAUUCCAGAGUCUAUAGGUGGUCUGAAGAGAUUGGAGGAGCUGCAUUUGGAACACAACAGCAUGUCAGGGGAGCUGCCAGCAGCUCUAAGCAACUGCACAAAUCUUGUAACAAUUGACCUCAAGGCAAACCAAUUUAGCGGAGAACUUACCAAGGUCAACUUUGUAAGCCUGUCCAAUCUAAAAAAACUAGAUCUUCUUUCCAAUAACUUCACCGGCACAGUUCCAGAAAGCAUAUACUCCUGCAGCAAGCUGACUGCACUACGGCUAUCUUACAAUCCUUUCCAUGGUCAAUUGUCAGAAAAAAUAGGCAAUCUGAAGUCCCUCUUAUUCCUAUCACUUGCUAAUAACUCUCUUACAAAUAUCACAAGAACACUUCAGAUGCUUAGCAGUUCCAGGAGCCUCACCACCCUUUAUAUUGGAUGCAACUUCCUCCAUGAGACCAUGCCAGAGGAUGUCAGCAUUGAUGGUUUCCAGAAUCUCCAGGUUCUUUAUAUAAAUCAUUGUUCAUUGUCUGGAAAAAUACCUGAUUGGUUAUCAAAGCUACCGAAUUUGGAGAUGCUAUUUUUGCAAGGCAAUCAACUAACUGGACCGAUACCUGAAUGGAUCAGCAGCCUAAAUUUUCUCUUCUCUCUAGAUAUAUCAAACAACAGCCUUACAGGGGAAAUUCCAAGUGCUUUAAUGGAGAUGCCAAUGCUAGAAUCAGAUAAUACUGCACCAAAGGUCUUCUUUGAGCUGCCUGUUUGGAACAAGAACCAGUUUCUGCAAUACCUCACGCCCAGUGCUUUUCCUAAAGAGCUUAAUCUAGCCAUGAAUAAUUUCUCUGGUAUGAUUCCGGAGGAGAUCGGUCAGUUACAAGGACUAUUUUCACUUAACUUGAGCUCCAACAGAUUAUCUGGAGAGAUACCAGAACAGAUCUGCAAUCUCACGAACCUGCAGAUGCUUGACUUGUCUGGUAAUCAUCUCACUGGUAAGAUUCCAGCUGCAUUGAACAAUCUGCACUUCCUUUCCAGAUUCAACAUUUCUAAUAAUGACCUAGAAGGCCCUAUUCCAAACAUGGGCCAGUUCAGCACGUUUCCGGAUUCUAGCUUUGGUGGAAACCCAAAACUGUGUGGCCCUAUGGUUGCAAACCAUUGUGGUUCGGCAGAAGCAAGUCCAGUUUCCAUUGACCCCAUAAAACAGAUUGGUAGCGAGGCCAUCAUCUUUAUGACCGCCUUCGGUGUUUUCUUUGGAGUAGGAGUCCUAUAUGAUCAGAAAGUCUUAGCUAGACAUUUUGGCUGA
rnacentral:rRNA from 1 species